GUUAACCUACGGGAGGCAGCAGUGGGGAAUAUUGGACAAUGGGGGGAACCCUGAUCCAGCGACGCCGCGUGAGUGAAGAAGUAUUUCGGUAUGUAAAGCUCUAUCAGCAGGGAAGAAAGGAAUGACGGUACCUGACUAAGAAGCCCCGGCUAACUACGUGCCAGCAGCCGCGGUAAUACGUAGGGGGCAAGCGUUAUCCGGAUUUACUGGGUGUAAAGGGAGCGUAGACGGUAGAGCAAGUCUGAAGUGAAAGCCCGCGGCUCAACUGCGGGACUGCUUUGGAAACUGUUCAACUGGAGUGCUGG
rnacentral:rRNA from 1 species